AUGAGUUCAACAAGCAGAGCAUGGGUAGCAGCAGGCAGUGUUGCAGUCGUGGAAGCUUUGAAGGAUCAAGGUAUAUGCAGAUGGAAUCAUACUCUAAAGUCACUUCAAAAUCAUCUCAAAAAUAAUGUCAGAUCGUAUUCUCAAGCAAAUAAGUUUUCAUCCUCCACUUGCUGCGCUUCUUCUUCAGCUAUGGUUUCUACUAAAAGACAAAAAAAGAAGGCAAAGCAAUCAGAAAAAUCUUUGAAGACAGUCAUGUAA
rnacentral:lncRNA from 1 species